rnacentral:rRNA from 1 species
UACGUAGGGUGCGAGCGUUGUCCGGAAUUAUUGGGCGUAAAGGGCUCGUAGGCGGUUUGUCGCGUCGGGAGUGAAAACUCAGGGCUUAACCCUGAGCCUGCUUCCGAUACGGGCAGACUAGAGGUAUGCAGGGGAGAACGGAAUUCCUGGUGUAGCGGUGAAAUGCGCAGAUAUCAGGAGGAACACCGGUGGCGAAGGCGGUUCUCUGGGACGGUACUGACGCUGAGGCGCGAAAGCGUGGGGAGCAAACAGG